GCGCCGGUAGCUCAGUUGGAUAGAGCACCAGACUACGAAUCUGGGGGUCGUGGGUUCGAAUCCUUCCCGGCGCGCCA
rnacentral:tRNA from 2 species